rnacentral:misc_RNA from 1 species
GAAAUGCGAUAAGUAAUGUGAAUUGCAGAAUUCAGUGAAUCAUCGAAUCUUUGAACGCACCUUGCGCUCCUUGGUAUUCCUUGGAGCAUGCCUGUUUGAGUAUCAUGAAAUCUUCAAAGUAAUCUUUUGUUAACUCAAUUGGUUUCUACUUUGGUAUUGGAGGUCUUUGCAGCUUCACACCUGCUCCUCUUUGUUCAUUAGCUGGAUCUCAGUGUUAUGCUUGGUUCCACUCGGCGUGAUAAGUUAUCUAUCGCUGAGGACACUGUAAAAGGUGGCCAAGGUAAAUGCAGAUGAACCGCUUCUAAUAGUCCAUUGACUUGGACAAUACUUUUAUGAUCUGAUCUCAAAUCAGGUAGGACUACCCGCUGAACCUAAGC